CACGUAGGGGGCAAGCGUUGUCCGGAUUUAUUGGGCGUAAAGAGCUCGUAGGCGGCUCAGUAAGUCAGGUGUGAAACCUCCAGGCUCAACCUGGAGACGCCACCUGAUACUGCUGUGGCUAGAGUCCGGUAGGGGAGCGUGGAAUUCCUGGUGUAGCGGUGAAAUGCGCAGAUAUCAGGAGGAACACCAGCGGCGAAGGCGGCGCUCUGGGCCGGAACUGACGCUGAGGAGCGAAAGCGUGGGUAGCAAACGGG
rnacentral:rRNA from 1 species